UACGUAGGGGGCAAGCGUUGUCCGGAAUCAUUGGGCGUAAAGCGCGUGUAGGCGGCCAGAAAAGUCCGCUGUGAAAACUCGAGGCUCAACUUCGAGCUGUCGGUGGAAACUUUCUGGCUAGAGUCCGGAAGAGGAGAAUGGAAUUCCUGGUGUAGCGGUGAAAUGCGCAGAGAUGUGGAGGAACACCGAUGGCGAAGGCAGCCCCCUGGGCUAACACUGACGCUCAGGCACGAAAGCGUGGGGAGCAAACAGG
rnacentral:rRNA from 1 species